UUCCGGUUGAUCCCGCCGGACCUGACUGCUAUCGGAUUGGUACUAAGCCAUGUGAGUCAUUGUAGCAAUACAAGGCAUACGGCUCAGUAACACGUAGUCAAUCUGCCCUAUGGACGUGGAUAACCUCGGGAAACUGAGAAUAAUCCGCGAUAGAUCAUAAUGCCUGGAACGGUUUAUGGUCCAAAUGAUUCGUCGCCGUAGGAUGGGACUGCGGCCUAUCAGCUUGUUGGUGAGGUAAUGGCCCACCAAGGCUAUAACAGGUACGGGCUCUGAGAGGAGAAGCCCGGAGAUGGGUACUGAGACACGGACCCAGGCCCUAUGGGGCGCAGCAGGCGAGAAACCUUAGCAAUGUGCGAAAGCACGACUAGGUUAAUCCGAGUGAUUUCUGUUGAAGAAAUCUUUUGUCAGUCGUAAAACCACAGACGAAUAAGGGGUGGGCAAGUCUGGUGUCAGCCGCCGCGGUAAUACCAGCACCUCGAGUGGUCAGGAGGUUUAUUGGGCCUAAAGCAUCCGUAGCCGGCUAUGCAAGUCUCCGGUUAAAUCCAACUGCUCAACAGAUGGGCUGCCGGAGAUACUACACAGCUAGGGAGCGGGAGAGGUAGACGGUAUUCUGUGGGUAGGGGUAAAAUCCACUGAUCCAUAGAGGACCACCAGUGGCGAAGGCGGUCUACCAGAACGCGUUCGACGGUGAGGGAUGAAAGCUGGGGGAGCAAACCGGAUUAGAUACCCGGGUAGUCCCAGCUGUAAACGAUGCAAACUCGGUGAUGCAUUGACUUAUGGUCAAUGCAGUGCCGCAGGAAGCCGUUAAGUUUGCCGCCUGGGAAGUACGGACGCAAGUCUGAAACUUAAAGGAAUUGGCGGGG
rnacentral:rRNA from 1 species